rnacentral:rRNA from 1 species
AUUGAACGCUGGCGGCAUGCCUUACACAUGCAAGUCGAACGGCAGCGCGGACUUCGGUCUGGCGGCGAGUGGCGAACGGGUGAGUAAUACAUCGGAACGUACCCUGUUGUGGGGGAUAACUAGUCGAAAGAUUAGCUAAUACCGCAUACGACCUGAGGGUGAAAGUGGGGGACCGGAAACGGCCUCAUGCAGCAGGAGCGGCCGAUGUCUGAUUAGCUAGUUGGUGGGGUAAAGGCCCACCAAGGCGACGAUCAGUAGCUGGUCUGAGAGGACGAUCAGCCACACUGGGACUGAGACACGGCCCAGACUCCUACGGGAGGCAGCAGUGGGGAAUUUUGGACAAUGGGGGCAACCCUGAUCCAGCAAUGCCGCGUGUGUGAAGAAGGCCUUCGGGUUGUAAAGCACUUUUGUCCGGAAAGAAAUCGCGCUGGUUAAUGCCUGGCGUGGAUGACGGUACCGGAAGAAUAAGCACCGGCUAACUACGUG